UUUAACUCCUCUGAACUUUUGCGAUUGCGGUGGUCACCAUUACUGUUAUCCCUGGCCUCAGUUCUGUGGCUCCGUCCUGGUGUGCACAGUCACUUACAAGGCUGAUUCGGCCCGAGUCUGUCUCCAUGACCUGGAGUAGAUCCUAGGACUCUGCAUGUGAACAGCCUGACUGAUAUUCUGAUGUUGGCCAUGGGCUUGAGAGCUUAUUAGCGCUGAAUGAUACUUUAUUGUCUCAGCAUGCUACUGUGUAGUAUCCAUUCGCCUACUGAAGGUCGCUUGCUUCCAAGCUCUGGCGGUUAUGAAUACGCCGCUGUGCACAUCUGUGUGCAGCUGUCUGCACGGACACGAGUUUUCAGCUGCUUUGGGUAAAUCCCGAGGAGGGCAGCUGCCGGAUCGUGUGGCACAAGUACGUCGAGUGUUGCCCUCCAAAGGGGCUGAACUAUUCCACAGUCCCACCGGUUACGGUAUGAAAGUAGCCAUGGUCCCGGCACUUAACUCAACGGCGAGAGGAAGUCAGCUGCCAGCCCCCCUUUGCCCACCACGUCUAAUUAACAUGGAGUCUACCUUCUUUGAUGAGUUCAUAAGUGUUUCACAGACAGGCAGGAUGUAGCAACUUUGCAAGACACUGUCUAAAGAUCUUCGACAUCUGACAAAGCCAUGGAAUCCGAUAAUCCUACUUUCAGAACUCCAGGGUGUCCGCCAAGAUCAAUCUCAUAUCUAAACAUCACAUAAAGGGAGUGCAUUGCAUUAUAGACUGCUUCCUAUUGAACACCACCGAACACAGCAUUAGACAGUUUUAAAAAAAAUGAGCCUCCACCAGGCAGAAUGGAAAAGGUGGUCAAAUUCUGGAAAAUUUUCCCCUUGAUUAAAGCUGCACUUUCAAAAUCGCUACAUUAUUAACAAAAGUCAGCUUAGCUCCAAUUUAUCUUGUGGACAGUUUCUUGAUGGAUUAGAGGUUAGGAAUAAACUGGAGGAGCUUUUCUGUUCUUCUCCGGGCACAGACAAGGCCGUGUCAACGCGUCCUGUGGUACCUGCGGUAAUACCUGCACGAGGUCCUGCUGAUGGGUCAGAGUGUGGAAGGUGCUUCUCCUGGAGGGGCACGGGCAGCUGUGCCUGUCUGGGCAUGCGCUCCUCAAUGGAAGGGUACCUGGUGUUUGUUAGGGGACCAACGCCCAAGCGCCAGGAAAGAGGGCACCGGUUCCGAUGUGUGGAGAGCCUCCUGCUCCUGAGUCUGAGGAAGCCGCCGGGUCCCAGGAGCCGUGCUCAAUAGCACCGAGAGAGGCUUCCCAUUUUUCUCUAGGAUAAAAAAUAGAUUUACUUGGCUUGGCAUGCUUCAUUUCAUGUUUUUUCAGUAUUUUUAUCAUCAUUAAUAUGUCCAGACCUGUACUCUAUG